rnacentral:rRNA from 1 species
GGGGAAUAUUGCACAAUGGGCGAAAGCCUGAUGCAGCAACGCCGCGUGAGUGAUGAAGGUCUUCGGAUUGUAAAGCUCUGUCUUUUGGGACGAUAAUGACGGUACCAAAGGAGGAAGCCACGGCUAACUACGUGCCAGCAGCCGCGGUAAUACGUAGGUGGCGAGCGUUGUCCGGAUUUACUGGGCGUAAAGGGUGCGUAGGCGGAUGUUUAAGUGAGAUGUGAAAUACCCGGGCUUAACUUGGGUGCUGCAUUUCAAACUGGAUAUCUAGAGUGCAGGAGAGGAGAAUGGAAUUCCUAGUGUAGCGGUGAAAUGCGUAGAGAUUAGGAAGAACACCAGUGGCGAAGGCGAUUCUCUGGACUGUAACUGACGCUGAGGCACGAAAGCGUGGGUAGCAAACAGGAUUAGAUACCCUGGUAGUCCACGCCGUAAAACGAUGAGUACUAGGUGUAG